CCCCAGCUCUGUUGUUCAGGGAUACAUGCGUAGGUGGCAAGGCAAUAAAUAAAAGCAAGACAAUUGUUAUCAAAAAGAGGUCAGGACAGAGAAGAUCUGUAAGGAGAAGGGAUGGGGGAUGUAUUGGGAAGAAGCGUGAAACAGUCACAGACUCUCUCUAAGACUCUAGGGAAGAGGCACUGGCACAAAGUUCAGUGGCUUUCAGGGUGGAGGCAGGGAUCCACUGCUCGCCCCCAGGUAGCUGUGAGGAUCAGAUGAGAAGAUACAUGUGAAGUGCAAAUCUGGACCUCGUGACUGUCGCUUCCCUUCCUUCACUGACACUUGGGAGACUCCCAGGUCUGAGAUGCAAGCCGGGCUGAGCGAAGGAAGGGGAGGAGGGAAAUCAUGGUUUUAGAAGUGAGACAAUGAGUUGUUUUUGCCUCUUUAGAAUCCAUGGCUGUCUCUAGGCA
rnacentral:lncRNA from 1 species